rnacentral:rRNA from 1 species
CCCUUAGAUGAUUUGGGCUGCACGCGCGCUACACUGACCCUAGCAAUGAGCAACUGUCUGGCCUGAGAUGGCUGGGUAGCCUUUUCAACCCAUGUCAUGAUUGGGCUAGAUUUUUGUAAGUCUUGAUCUCUAACGAGGAAUCCCUAGUAUGCGUGAAUCAUCAAUCCAUGCAGAUUAUGUCCCUGCCCUUUGUACACACCGCCCGUCGCUCCUACUGAUUGGGUGAUCCGGUGAGCUGUUCGGCCAUAGCAAUGUUUCUUGAGCAGGGCAAUGAAUGUUUCGCAAACCUUGCCACUUAGAGGAAGGAGAAGUCGUAACA